UAUUAAAACAGCCUAACCAGCUCUGCUAGGGUGAGAAGAAUGGUCAGAGUGGGGUGUUCUCUCAUUUAUUUACAGAAGUAGCUACAGGCUAGCUAACUUUACCCAGUUAGCUUGGGUACUUGACUGCCAUUGUGAGGUCAGAAAGCUCAGAUCAACCCUACUCAUUUUUACAUUUACAUUUUAGUCAUUUAGCAGACGCUCUUAUCCAGAGCGACUUACAGUAGUGAAUGCAUACAUUUCAUACAUUUUUUUUCUUUCCAUACUGGUCCCCGUGGGAAUCAAACCCACAACCCUGGCGUUGCAAACACCAUGCUCUACCAACUGAGCCACACGGGACCAUAUUGCCACGGAAAGGGUUACAUAGCCUUCAUAAGGAAGCCAAACCUCAAUCACCAGUGCCAUUUUCUCAUAACCACGGGGUACAGUACAAGGAAGUUGGCAAUUGAGCCAAUAAACUACUCCUUGGUCAGAGCGUCCAGUGUGCGCACUGAACACUCCCAGAGCGAAAUGCUCUGCAUUUACAAAUGGACUACCUAUGUAGUUGGAAUACCUAUGUAAGAAUGCUGUUCAUUGACUACAGCUCAGCAUUCAACACCAUAGUACCCUCAUCAUAAAGCUUGAGUCCCUGGGUCUCGACCCCGCCCUGCGCAACUGGGUCCUGGACUUCCUGACAGGCCUCUUCAACUUCAGGAGGCUGAAAAAAUGUGGCUUGUCACCGAAAACCCUCACAAACUUUUACAGGUGCACAAUCGAGAGCAUCCUGUCCUGCUGUAUCAUUGCCUGGUACCGCCCACAACCGCAGGGCUCUCCAGAGGGUGGUGCGGUCUGCACAACGCAUCCCCGGGAGCAAACUACCUGCCCUCCAGGACACCUACAACACCAGAUGUCACAGGAAGGCAAAAAAGAUCAUCAAGGGCAAUAACCACCAACCGAGCCACUGCCUGUUCACCCCGCUUCCGCCCAGAAGGCGAGGGUUCAUGGAAGACACUGUCCUCUGAGGCAAUACCUACCAGAAAACUUUGCAGGAAUCCACCCCCUGGAUCUGCAACAGAUGUACGGCGUAGUAGAAAAGAGAGGACAGGGAAGCAGAUCUUGGAGUUUUUGGUGAGAAAGUGAGAGAGAAUAUGAGAGUGAAAGAGAGCGUGGACCAAGCUCCAGCAGAGGAAGCAGCAGAUAAACCUGCAUUUUUUUUGCAAGGAUUUAUACAUGACACUAACCUCAACAUCAAAACCUUGAUUCCAAAUCACAAUUCCAUACCUACAACUUUGUUGUCCUUAAGCCAUUUUGCCACAACUUUGGAAGUAUGCUUGGGGCCAUUGUCCAUUUGGAAGACCCAUUUGCGACCAAGCUUUAACUUCCUGUCUGAUGUCUUGAGAUGUUGCUUCAAUACAUCCACAUCAUUUUUC